CCUACGGGAGGCAGCAGUGGGGAAUCUUGCGCAAUGGGCGAAAGCCUGACGCAGCCAUGCCGCGUGAAUGAUGAAGGUCUUAGGAUUGUAAAAUUCUUUCACCGGGGACGAUAAUGACGGUACCCGGAGAAGAAGCCCCGGCUAACUUCGUGCCAGCAGCCGCGGUAAUACGAAGGGGGCUAGCGUUGCUCGGAAUUACUGGGCGUAAAGGGAGCGUAGGCGGAUAGUUUAGUCAGAGGUGAAAGCCCAGGGCUCAACCUUGGAAUUGCCUUUGAUACUGGCUAUCUUGAGUACGGAAGAGGUAUGUGGAACUCCGAGUGUAGAGGUGAAAUUCGUAGAUAUUCGGAAGAACACCAGUGGCGAAGGCGACAUACUGGUCCGUUACUGACGCUGAGGCUCGAAAGCGUGGGGAGCAAACAGGAUUAGAUACCCUGGUAGUCCACGCUGUAAACGAUGAGUGCUAGUUGUCGGCAGGCAUGCCUGUCGGUGACGCAGCUAACGCAUUAAGCACUCCGCCUGGGGAGUACGGUCGCAAGAUUAAAAACUCAAAAGAGUAGUACGGCGNGAGAGAGCGACGACGACGACGAGGAGGAGGAG
rnacentral:rRNA from 1 species